GAAAUGCGAUAAGUAGUGUGAAUUGCAGAAUUCAGUGAAUCAUCGAAUCUUUGAACGCACAUUGCGCCCUUUGGUAUUCCAAAGGGCAUGCCUGUUCGAGCGUCAUUUGUACCCUCAAGCUUUGCUUGGUGUUGGGCGUCUUGUCUCCAGUUCGCUGGAGACUCGCCUUAAAGUAAUUGGCAGCCGGCCUACUGGUUUCGGAGCGCAGCACAAGUCGCGCUCUCUUCCAGCCAAGGUCAGCAUCCACAAAGCCUUUUUUCAACUUUUGACCUCGGAUCAGGUAGGGAUACCCGCUGAGUUUAA
rnacentral:misc_RNA from 1 species